rnacentral:rRNA from 1 species
UACGGAGGGUGCAAGCGUUAUCCGGAUUCACUGGGUUUAAAGGGUGCGUAGGUGGGCAGGUAAGUCCGUGGUGAAAUCCCUGAGCUUAACUCGGGAACUGCCAUGGAUACUAUUUGUCUGAAUAUUGUGGAGGUAAGCGGAAUAUGUCAUGUAGCGGUGAAAUGCUUAGAUAUGACAUAGAACACCAAUUGCGAAGGCAGCUUACUACACAGUUAUUGACACUGAGGCACGAAAGCGUGGGAGUCAAACAGG